rnacentral:rRNA from 1 species
AGUAAUACAUCGGAACGUGUCCCGUAGUGGGGGAUAGCCCGGGCGAAAGCCGGAUUAAUACCGCAUAUGCUCUACGGAGGAAAGUGGGGGACUCGCAAGGGCCUCACGCCAUGGGAGCGGCCGAUGUCCGAUUAGCUUGUUGGCGGGGUAAUGGCCCACCAAGGCGACGAUCGGUAGCUGGUCUGAGAGGAUGAUCAGCCACACUGGGACUGAGACACGGCCCAG